rnacentral:tRNA from 1 species
GUCUGGUGCUGGCGGCGAUUAUCGUGUUGUCGCUGCUGCCGGCGGUGGUGGAGAUUGUGCGUGCGAAACGUGCCGGCAAACGC